UGAGUAAUGCCUAGGAAAUUGCCCUGAUGUGGGGGAUAACCAUUGGAAACGAUGGCUAAUACCGCAUGAUGCCUACGGGCCAAAGAGGGGGACCUUCGGGCCUCUCGCGUCAGGAUAUGCCUAGGUGGGAUUAGCUAGUUGGUGAGGUAAGGGCUCACCAAGGCGACGAUCCCUAGCUGGUCUGAGAGGAUGAUCAGCCACACUGGAACUGAGACACGGUCCAGACUCCUACGGGAGGCAGCAGUGGGGAAUAUUGCACAAUGGGCGCAAGCCUGAUGCAGCCAUGCCGCGUGUGUGAAGAAGGCCUUCGGGUUGUAAAGCACUUUCAGUCGUGAGGAAGGUGGUGUAGUUAAUAGCUGCAUUAUUUGACGUUAGCGACAGAAGAAGCACCGGCUAACUCCGUGCCAGCAGCCGCGGUAAUACGGAGGGUGCGAGCGUUAAUCGGAAUUACUGGGCGUAAAGCGCAUGCAGGUGGUUUGUUAAGUCAGAUGUGAAAGCCCGGGGCUCAACC
rnacentral:rRNA from 1 species